rnacentral:rRNA from 1 species
AUGAACGCUAGCGGCGCGCUUAAUGCAUGCAAGUCGAGCGAUGAGGCUCCCUUCGGGGAGUACAUCAGCGGCAGACGGGUGAGUAACACGUAGAUAACCUACCCUCAAGACGGGGAUAACCGGUGGAAACAGCGGCUAAUACCCGAUAUGCUCACAGUUUCGGGAGAAGGAGUGAGGAAAGGCUGAGGUGCUUGAGGAGGGGUCUGCGGCCCAUCAGCUAGUUGGUGAGGUAACGGCUCACCAAGGCGAAGACGGGUAGGGGGUGUGAGAGCACGACCCCCCACAAUGGGACUGCGACACGGCCCAUACUCCUACGGGAGGCAGCAGCAGGGAAUAUUGCGCAAUGGACGGAAGUCAGACGCAGCGACGCCGCGUGGGUGAUGAAGGCCUUCGGGUUGUAUAAGCCCUUUUCUGAGGGAAGAGAACGGACGGUACCUUGGGAAUAAGCGUCGGCUAACUACGUGCCAGCAGACCGCGGUAAGACGUAGGACGCGAGCGUKAUCCGGAUUUACUGGGGCGUAAAGCGCCUGUAGGCGGUUUAGAUAAGUCAGGUUGUGAAAGCCCCGUGCUCAACGCGGGGGAGGCCAAGCGAUACUGCGUGACUUGAGGGCGGAAGAGGGGAGUGGCAAUUCUCUCGGUGUAGCGGUAAAUAUGCUGCAGAUAUCGGGAGGCAACACCAGUGGCGAAGGCGGCGUCCCUGGACCGCACCUGACGCUCAGAGGCGAAAGCUAGGGGAGCGAACAG